ACGAACGCUGGCGGCGUGCUUCACACAUGCAAGUCGAACGGAAAGGCCCUGCUUUUGUGGGGUGCUCGAGUGGCGAACGGGUGAGUAACACGUGAGUAACCUGCCCUUGACUUUGGGAUAACUUCAGGAAACUGGGGCUAAUACCGGAUAGGAGCUCCUGCUGCAUGGUGGGGGUUGGAAAGUUUCGGCGGUUGGGGAUGGACUCGCGGCUUAUCAGCUUGUUGGUGGGGUAGUGGCUUACCAAGGCUUUGACGGGUAGCCGGCCUGAGAGGGUGACCGGCCACAUUGGGCCUGAGCUACGGCCCAGACUCCUACGGGAGGCAGCAGUGGGGCAUAUUGCACAAUGGGCGGAAGCCUGCUGCAGCAACGCCGCGUGCGGGAUGACGGCCUUCGGGUUGUAAACCGCUUUCGCCUGUGACGAAGCGUGAGUGACGGUAAUGGGUAAAGAAGCACCGGCUCACUACGUG
rnacentral:rRNA from 1 species